rnacentral:rRNA from 1 species
UACGUAGGGUGCGAGCGUUGUCCGGAAUUACUGGGCGUAAAGAGCUCGUAGGUGGUUUGUCGCGUUGUUCGUGAAAACUCACAGCUUAACUGUGGGCGUGCGGGCGAUACGGGCAGACUGGAGUACUGCAGGGGAGACUGGAAUUCCUGGUGUAGCGGUGAAAUGCGCAGAUAUCAGGAGGAACACCGGUGGCGAAGGCGACGUCCUGGACCGGCAUUGACGCUGAGGCGCGAAAGCCAGGGGAGCAAACGGG